UCUGCCCAUCAGACGGGGACAACGAUUGGAAACGAUCGCUAAUACCGGAUAGGACGAAAGUUUAAAGGUGCUUCUGGCACCGCUGAUGGAUGAGCCUGCGGCGCAUUAGCUAGUUGGUAGGGUAAAGGCCUACCAAGGCGACGAUGCGUAGCCGACCUGAGAGGGUGAACGGCCACACUGGGACUGAGACACGGCCCAGACUCCUACGGGAGGCAGCAGUAGGGAAUCUUCGGCAAUGGGCGAAAGCCUGACCGAGCAACGCCGCGUGAAUGAUGAAGGCCUUCGGGUUGUAAAAUUCUGUUAUAAGGGAAGAACGACUUUAGUAGGAAAUGGCUAGAGUGUGACGGUACCUUAUGAGAAAGCCACGGCUAACUACGUGCCAGCAGCCGCGGUAAUACGUAGGUGGCGAGCGUUAUCCGGAAUUAUUGGGCGUAAAGAGCGCGCAGGUGGUUGAUUAAGUCUGAUGUGAAAGCCCACGGCUUAACCGUGGAGGGUCAUUGGAAACUGGUCGACUUGAGUGCAGAAGAGGGAAGUGGAAUUCCAUGUGUAGCGGUGAAAUGCGUAGAGAUAUGGAGGAACACCAGUGGCGAAGGCGGCUUCCUGGUCUGUAACUGACACUGAAGCGCGAAAGCGUGGGGAGCAAACAGGAUUAAAUACCCUGGUAGUCCACGCCGUAAACGAUUAUUGCUA
rnacentral:rRNA from 1 species